UUUUCAGAGAGAAAACUGAGGCUAUCAGAUAAGUACUUGAAAACUCUCCUUCAGAACCACAAAUUACAACAUCUACAUCUAAAUCCAGCGUACCUCCUGGGAUCCUGUGCCGGACCGAUAGACAUCUUUCUCCUUUCCAGGGGUUUAACUCCUCCACACUCCCAGCCUGCCUCAACCCCUGCAGCAGCUGCUCAGGAAGUCAGAUCUCACACCUGCAGCUCAGUCUUCAUCUGAGUCCAGAAGUUCAGGAGACAGGUGAAGGCAAGAGAAUCUGAGAACGCAUCCAGCCAUUGUUUAAAGAGGGAGGCAACAGCCAAGAAGAGCCACGUGAGGCCUGUCUUAGCCUUCCAAUCCUUCAUUAGGGAGCAAGGAAAGAAGAACUUUGCCAAGAGCAAACCUGAAACAUUCCUUUGGGUUUGGUUCAAAGACUGCAAGUCCAUGCUUCCACACAAACGUGUUCCUAGGACUGAAGACUUAAGGCACUGUUCAAAGGAUCUCUUGGGCAUGAGGAGAUGAGAAUAGCCACCACCACCACUGGCCCGGCUCUGAGAUGUGUGUGAAGGGAAUCCAUUCGUAGGAGGCUCUUUUACAUGAUUACCUUCCAAAGCUGAUAUAUACCCUCUCUGAGAAUAUCAAUUCUUCCUAAUUAUAAGCACACACUACUACAGAUCAACAAUAUUACAGUUCAAAGAAACCUGAGAUAUGCAUUAGGUGUGUCUCAAUUAUCUCAUUUUAAAAUAAAAGAAAACAGACUCAGGGAGGGCAGGGACUUGCUCAAGGUCAAACUGCUGAUCAGUGUUUCAUGAAGAAGCCAGGACUUGUGAUUCCAAGUUCAGAGCUUUGGAGUCAGUGCUUCAUGCCCUGACCUCAUAAGAUGCUAAGUGCCUAAUACAGACAAGAUUCAUUUUCUUUUCUUUUUUUUUCCUCUCUCUCGGCUUUUGUUUUGUUUUGGGUUUGAUUUUGGUUUCGGGGUUUUGUUUUGUUUUUACCAUCACAAAAGUUUGGUUUUGUUUAAGAUCGUAGAUACAAAGAACAGAUUAGUGAUUGCCACAGGCUGGGCAUGGGAGGCAGGGGGUGGUGUGUGUGAGUGAAAUGGGUAAAGUGAUAACUGAUAUAAAUGUACAGUAAUAAAAGUAAGUCAUGGGGAUGUAAUAUAUAGCAUGGUCACCAUAAUAAUGGACUGUAUUUUUUUUCAUUUUUUAAAAUUUAAAUUCAAUUAAUUAACAUAUAGAUUAUUAUUAGUUUCAGAGAUUCAGAGUGCAAUGAUUCAUCAGUCUUAUGUUAACAUCCAGUGCCCAUUACAUCAUGGGCCUUCCUUAAUGCCCAUCAACCUGUUACCUCAUCCUUCCUACCCCUCUACCCUCCAGCAAAAUUCAUUUUCAUGUUUAGCCUUCCUGGCUUAUUCUGGACCAAUCCUUUUUAAAACUUUUCUUUAGGGACACCUGGGUGGCUCAGUGGUUGAGCAUCUGGCUUUGGCUCAGGGUGUGAUCCCAGGAUCCAAGAUUGAGGUCCUCAUCGGGCCCCCUUCAAGGAGCCUACUUCUCCCUCUGUCUAUGUCUCUGCCUCUCUCUCUCUCUCUCUCUCUCUCUGUCUCUCAUGAAUAAAUAAAUAAAUCUUAAAAAACAAAAAUAAAAUAAAACUUUUAUUUAUUUAUCUAUCUACUUUCUUGUGUGUGUGUUUGGGAAUUGGAGGGAAUUCUUUGAACCCACCAGCUAGGGACUCUUAGAUAUCCUAAUAAAUGUCUAUAUAGGCUUUCCUUAAAUAAUUUUGAAGACCAG